GCGCAGCAGUCGAGAAACCUCCGCAAUGCGGGAAACCGCGACGGGGUCAGCCGGAGUGCUCGCGCAUCGCGCGGGCUGUCGGGGUGCCUAAAAAGCACCCCAUAGCAAGGGCCGGGCAAGGCCGGUGGCAGCCGCCGCGGUAAUACCGGGCGGCCCGAGUGGCGGCCACUUUUAUUGGGCCUAAAGCGUCCGUAGCCGGGCUGGUAAGUCCUCCGGGAAAUCUGGCGGCUUAACCGUCAGACUGCCGGAGGAUACUGCCAGCCCUAGGGGACCGGGAGAGGCCGGGGGUAUUCCCGGGGUAGGGGUGAAAUCCUGUAAUCCCGGGAGGACCACCUGUGGCGAAGGCGCCCGGCUGGAACGGGUCCGACGGUGAGGGACGAAGGCCAGGGGAGC
rnacentral:rRNA from 1 species